CGGGCGGUUUACAUACGUUCUCGACGCGGAGCGCGCGCGAGAGAGAACUCGACGGAGGAAGGUGAAGCGACGACGCGUUCCGUACCCGGAUAAACGCGCCUGCCUAUAGAUGCAUACGCGCGCGCACCAUAAGGCGAAACCGGCUAUCUGAAGGCCCCGGCCAACAAUGACGAAUAGGAUCGACGGACUACUUGCAGGGGAUUCACGCUUGUGUAUAGCAAUGUUCACUACCACAUUUUGACAUCUCCGCCACGAAAAAAAAGGACCUGCUGCCACGUGACACCGGUUUCCUGCGAAAUAUCUUCCCAAUGGCUGGGAGUGGCGUUCACGAACGCAUACUCCUAUCGUUUGGGAAUGGCCGAGAGCCCGAUGUGCGACUCCCGUGGGUGCGAGGAAACCAUCGAGCACCUAUUGUGUACCUGCCCUCGCUACGAUGUCCAAUGCCUCUCUCUGCGGGCAACUCUAUACACCGGCUGGACUCGAGACCGUUCACCGAGUCAAAGGUCGUGAGGGCCCAGGCUAUGGCUACUUCGGCUGCGUCAACUUCCCUUGCGAAGUCCAGGUUCGAUUUUACGCAACCUCUUUGGUGGGUCCUACGAGCGUUCAGGCAUAAUUAAGGGUAGCCCGAUAUCACCCCGAGUCAGAGAUCUUCAGUGGUUAGCGCGCCCAGCCCACAACUGCACAUCGCGCCAAGGCACAAGUCCGAUACCCAGUAACGGUGAUGGGCAAAGUUUGGUAUCUCCAUCAUAUGCCGAAGGAUGAAGCUGAGAUGAAGGUGCGGCCUGACGACGAUGUCACGAUAACAAUGAGAACUAUGACGGCGUACUGAAGAGUACCAAUAAAGUGACACAGCAAGCUACAUUUCAGAUAUUUAAAGGCUGUCGCAGUAUAAUACAUGUAGUAACAAUAAUAAUGACUACACAAACACUCACUGACUGGCACGUUGCUGGGGCGUUCACAUGACAUCUUUGCAACUAGAACUAAGCAUUUUGGAGCUCGACAAGUUAAUCUGUUCGCUCAUAAAGAAUUAACGUCAAAAUUGUAGGGGAUCAUUCGAAAAAAAAAAAAGGAAAGAUUGCGUAAGAAUAAUUUUCGUGGCACAAUCAUAAUUCUAAAUCUGUUUUGAUUGUAUCGUUUACUCUUGUAGGUGUCAUUUGAGGUAGCAUAAAGGCCCAGUGUAGCUUUGAUUUUGUCGUUCAUAGUGCCCAACAACCAGUAGUAGACACCAAUGUUCCUCAGAAUGUAGAGGCUGCUGUGCGGGGUUGUUUUUUGUUUGUUUGUGUGUGUGUGUUUCAUAGAAUCUCUGCUCGUCAGUUCUUAUAGCUUGCAGUUCAUGAAGAGACACUGAUGCAUAAAAAGGCUGCUAUUGUGUCUAACGGUUUUUUUUUUUUUGUCUAUUCGGGCACGCAGGUUCUUGCUCUUCAAAGUUCUCCACGGUGUUUAGAAGAAGACGCGUCCAAGGCAAAGCUUAUGAUUUUAAACAGGUCGAAAGACGUAUAUUUUCAUCCCAUCUGCAUUUGGCCGAAUAUCAAUAAGAACCCCGCCGAAACCAUUAAGGUA